UACAGAGGUCUCAAGCGUUGUUCGGAUUCAUUGGGCGUAAAGGGUGCGUAGGCGGCGCGGUAAGUCGGGUGUGAAAUCUCGGGCUUAACUCCGAAACUGCAUUCGAUACUGCCGUGCUUGAGGACUGGAGAGGAGACUGGAAUUUACGGUGUAGCGGUGAAAUGCGUAGAUAUCGUAAGGAAGACCAGUGGCGAAGGCGGGUCUCUGGACAGUUCCUGACGCUGAGGCACGAAGGCCAGGGGGAGCAAACGGGG
rnacentral:rRNA from 1 species